AGUCUCCUGGUGCUUACCACAGGCUGUGUUCUUACAUCGACUGUAUAGAAAGAGGAGGCAAAGUAAACCUACCGCAUGUACACCUCAGCCCAGGCCCUGUGCCUGAUCGGUAUUGUGAAUGGCGGAGACAUGG
rnacentral:snoRNA from 1 species